CCGGCAGGAGUCCCAGUAGGAAGAGAGGAGGUGAGGGCCUCUGGGGAGGGGGCAGGGGGGCUUUGACAGGUGGGAAGAGGAAAGGAGUGUGAA
rnacentral:lncRNA from 1 species